rnacentral:rRNA from 1 species
GCCUAAAGCGUCCGUAGCCGGUUUGAUAAGUCUUUUGUGAAAUUGUAGAGCUUAACUUUACACUGUGCAAGAGAAACUAUCAAUCUAGGAACCGGGAGAAGAUAGAAGUACUCUUUGGGGAGCGGUAAAAUACUAUAAUCCUUAGAGGACUACCUAUGGCGAAGGCAUCUAUCCAGAACGGGUUCGACGGUGAGGGACGAAAGCUAGGAGAACAAAAGGGAUUAGAUACCCCUGUAGCCCUAGCUGUAAACGCUGUGAGCUAUGUAUUGCAUGUUUUUCGUAAACAUGCAGUGCCGAAGCGAAGGCAUUAAGCUCACCGCCUGGGAAGUAUAGUCGCAAGGCCGAAACUUAAAGGAAUUGGCGGGAGAGCACACAAGUGGUGCGGCGUGCGGUUCAAUCUAACUCCACGCAGAAAAUCUCACCAGGAGCGCCGGCAGGAUGAAGGUCAGAUUGAAGGUUUUACCUGACAAGCCGAGAGGUGGUGCAUGGCCGUCGUCAGCUCGUGCCGUGAGGUGUUACGUUAAGUCGUACAACGAGCAAGACCUAUAUCUAUAGUUGCCAGCUACUCUUUUUAGAGGUUUGGGCACACUAUAGAGACUGCAUUCGUAAGGAUGAGGAAGGUGUAGGCAACGAUAGGUCAGUAUGCCCCGAA